rnacentral:tRNA from 1 species
CAGAGGGUAGUUUAAUGAAGAAUUCUAGCUUUGGGAGUUAGUGGUAGGAGUUGAAUUCUCCUUUCUCUGA